rnacentral:rRNA from 1 species
GACGUAGGGCGCGAGCGUUGUCCGGAUUGACUGGGCGUAAAGGGCUCGUAGGCGGCUCGUUGCGUCGGCUGUGAAAACCCGCAGCUCAACUGUGGGCCUGCAGCCGAUACGGGCGGGCUGGAGUUCGGUAGGGGAGACUGGAAUUCCUGGUGUAGCGGUGAAAUGCGCAGAUAUCAGGAGGAACACCGGUGGCGAAGGCGGGUCUCUGGGCCGAUACUGACGCUGAGGAGCGAAAGCGUGGGGAGCGAACAGG